rnacentral:rRNA from 1 species
GGGCUACACACGUGCUACAAUGGCGUAUACAGAGGGCGGCGAGCCAGCGAUGGGGAGCGAAUCUCAGAAAGUCCGUCUAAGUCCGGAUUGGAGUCUGCAACUCGACUCCAUGAAGUCGGAAUCGCUAGUAAUCGCAAAUCAGAAUGUUGCGGUGAAUACGUUCCCGGGCCUUGUACACACCGCCCGUCACACCAUGGGAGUGGGUUGUACCAGAAGUAGAUAGCUUAACCGAAAGGGGGGCGUUUACCACGGUAUGAUUCAUGACUGGGGUGAAGUCGUAACAAGGUAACCGUAGGGGAACCUGCGGUUGGAUCACCU